UACGUAGGGGGCAAGGCGUUGUCCGGAUUUAUUGGGUCGUAAAGAGCUCGUAGGCGGUUCCGUAAGUCAGGUGUGAAAAAUCUGGGCUCAACCCAGUGGAGCACCUGAUACUGCGGUGACUCGAGUCCGGUAGGGGAGUGUGGAAUUCCUGGUGUAGCGGUGGAAAUGACGCAGAUAUCAGGAGGAACACCGACGGCGAAGGCAGCACUCUGGGCCGGUACUGACGCUGAGGAGCGAAAGCAUGGGGGAGCGAACAGG
rnacentral:rRNA from 1 species